GGACUUUGGAAAGCCCGGUGGCGACGGAGAAAUUCUGCACAAGCUAGUUGUAGAGCGAGCUUCUCGCAAUCCAAACUGGUUUUCAGAAAAUUGCCUUGCAAUUUUUUUGAAGUCUAGGCUUCCCAUGUCGAACACGUCAGGGGCAAUGUGUUUUCCGAAAAAAAAAUUUCCUUCGAAAAAAGAUUAUCUCAGGCAGGCAGCCGCGCUCGCAGCAGGGGCACUGGAUUUCAAGCUUUUAAUUGAAAGACAACUUCUCCAGCCUGAUGUCAGCGGAAAAACUCCUUUGGACAUGUCGCAAUACCAGCGUAUCUUCCGUGUUUACCGCACGCCUGCUAUAGCCUGCGAUCAACUGGAGUUCAAUACGCCCCUCGAGAAAUCUGGGGAACACGUGGUAGCCAUACACAAU